UACGAAGGGGGCUAGCGUUGUUCGGAAUUACUGGGCGUAAAGCGCACGUAGGCGGAUUUGUUAGUCAGGGGUGAAAUCCCGGGGCUCAACCUCGGAACUGCCUUUGAUACUGCAAAUCUCGAGUCCGAUAGAGGUGGGUGGAAUUCCUAGUGUAGAGGUGAAAUUCGUAGAUAUUAGGAAGAACACCGGUGGCGAAGGCGGCCCACUGGAUCGGUACUGACGCUGAGGUGCGAAAGCGUGGGGAGCAAACAGG
rnacentral:rRNA from 1 species